AAAAAAUUUGGUUCUGAUUUUAUUCUUAACCCUGUUAUGCUAGGUACAUGAGAGCUUCCUACCAGAAAGAGCUUUAUUUUAGAAAUUCUAAAACUCUUCUCAAAACUUAAUAUUACAAAAUCUAGGUAACUAGGAUGUAGGUAAUAACAAAAUAAGGUGCUAAAUAACGUGCCAGCAAUCGCGGUUACACGUUCUACCUAAAGUAAAGAUAAACCGGUCAAAAGGAAGGCUUAAAAAAUUUAAUAAAACUUCUUAUAAUAGUAAAAUAUGAACAAAUAAAUUAUAUUAAAUGAAACCCAUCCGUACAAAAAAAGAUAUAAACCGGGAUUUGAUACCCCGCUAUACCUUUUAAAAUCAAUAACACCAGAUAAUUAAAUAUUUAUAUUGAAAUUUAAAGAACUUGGCGGUUUUCUAAACCUCUUUGGAGGAGCUUGUUAUCAAAUCGAUAUCCCACGAGACACCUCACCAGUUUAAGAAUAUUUUUAUUAAUACAGCCUGUAUAUCAUCGUCAACGUUUACCUUUUAAGGGUGUAAACACACAGAUUAAUAUCUAAACAUCAGAUCAAGACGCAGCCAAUAAACUGGACUUAAUGAGCUACUAUAUUUUUUAACUGAGGACUAGAACAUGAAACAUUCAUCGAAAGAGGAUUCAACAGUAAUAAGAUAAAUAAAUAUUUUAUGAAACUAGCUCUAGAUCACGUACACAUCGCCCGUCACUCUCGUCAACAGAGGAGAAAAGUCGUAACAAAGUAGGUGUACCGGAAGGUGUACCUAGAAAAUA
rnacentral:ncRNA from 1 species